GGAAAGUCGGGAUUGUAAGGAAAGGAAUCUCACAGGGCUUCUCUGAGGAGACAAGUCAUUGGACUGGGCUUAGACGUUCCAUCCGUGGCAAGAUUUCCGGCUUCGCCCUUUGGAGCCUGAGGAGCAAGGGUAGAAUGAGGAUCGUGAGGUUCUUCAGAGGCAGUUACUCACGAGGCCACAGCGCAGAAACGGCAAGAAAUGUCAGGACAACUAUGGAUGUGAAGGAUAGGAGAGGGGCCUCCUUCCCCAUGAGAUCCCCAAAGG